rnacentral:ncRNA from 1 species
UUUUAUGAGAGUUUGAUCCUGGCUCAGGACGAACGCUGGCGGCGUGCCUAAUACAUGCAAGUCGAACGCUUUUUCUUUCACCGGAGCUUGCUCCACCGAAAGAAAAGGAGUGGCGAACGGGUGAGUAACACGUGGGUAACCUGCCCAUCAGAAGGGGAUAACACUUGGAAACAGGUGCUAAUACCGUAUAACAAUCGAAACCGCAUGG